CAGCAUUCCGGAAAGCCUGGCUCAAAGCCCGCCUCCUCUGAAACAAGAGUUCAGCAAUCAGGCCUGGCUUUCACCAAGGCUAUGGUGAACAGAGAACAGAAGCAUCAUGCAUCCUGUAAGAACCUAAGAAGCUGGGAGUAGACACCACGGAGCCCCAAGGGGGUUGGCAGCAAUCUCUUCUCAGAACCAUGGAUAAGCAGAGAGCAGCUGAAAGCGACCCUCCUGCCAGCCCCAGAGGUACAGAUGACCAGGCAAGUGUCACAGCAGACUGCACAAAGGGACACAACUGGCAUUUAAGCUAACGAUGCUUUCCAGCUCAGACCCCGUGCCCUUUGACCCCACACUAUAUUCCAAUAGGUCAGAGCAGACCUGCUUGACUUCCCUAAUGCGCAUUAUCCUCCCUGGUCAAUAAAAUUCCCUUCUGCCUCCGCGCUGACAAUA